GACGAACGCUGGCGGCGUGCUUAACACAUGCAAGUCGAACGGAAAGGCCCUGCUUUUGUGGGGUGCUCGAGUGGCGAACGGGUGAGUAACACGUGAGUAACCUGCCCUUGACUUUGGGAUAACUUCAGGAAACUGGGGCUAAUACCGGAUAGGAGCUCCUGCUGCAUGGUGGGGGUUGGAAAGUUUCGGCGGUUGGGGAUGGACUCGCGGCUUAUCAGCUUGUUGGUGGGGUAGUGGCUUACCAAGGCUUUGACGGGUAGCCGGCCUGAGAGGGUUACCGGCCACAUUGGGACUGAGAUACGGCCCAGAAUCCUACGGGAGGCAGCAGUGGGGAAUAUUGCACAAUGGGCGGAAGCCUGAUGCAGCAACGCCGCGUGCGGGAUGACGGCCUUCGGGUUGUAAACCGAUUUCGCCUGUGACGAAGCGUGAGUGACGGUAAUGGGUAAAGAAGCACCGGCUAACUACGUG
rnacentral:rRNA from 1 species